GACGUAGGGCGCGAGCGUUUGUCCGGAUUUAUUGGGCGUAAAGAGCUCGUAGGCGGCUUGUCGCGUCGACUGUGAAAACCCGUGGCUCAACCAUGUGGUCUGCAGUCGAUACGGGCAGACUAGAGUGCGGUAGGGGAGACUGGAAUUCCUGGUGUAGCGGUGAAAUGCGCAGAUAUCAGGAGGAACACCGGUGGCGAAGGCGGGUCUCUGGGCCGUAACUGACGCUGAGGAGCGAAAGCGUGGGGAGCGAACAGG
rnacentral:rRNA from 1 species